GGGCGCCGCAGCCUGUCGUACGGUCCUUCUGUGGGUCUGUCAGUGCCGAGGGCAGGAUGGAGAAGCUGCGGCUCCUGGGCCUCCGCUACCAGGAGUCGAUUCGCCGAUUCGCACGAGCUGUCAGAGCUGGGGCUGUACUGCGGAUGCUCCUGCUGCUCUGGUUCAAGGCUGGCCUCCAGACUUCACCCCCCAUCGUUCCACUGGACAGAGAGACCCAGGCACAGCCCCCGGAUGGUGACCACAGCCCUGGCGGCCAUGAGCAGUCCUACGUGGGGAAGCGGUCAAACCGGGUGGUGCGAACCCUCCAGAACACGCCGUCCCUGCACUCCAGGCACUGGGGAGCUCCCCAGCAGCGGGAGGGACGGCAGCAGCAGCAUCACGAGGAGCUGAGUGCGACCCCCACCCCCCUGGGGCUGCAGGAGACCAUCGCAGAGUUUUUGUACAUUGCCCGGCCGCUGCUGCACUUGCUUAGCCUGGGCCUGUGGGGUCAGAGGUCGUGGAAACCCUGGCUCUUGGCUGGUGUUGUGGACGUGACCAGGUGAGCCU
rnacentral:sRNA from 1 species